AAUAGAUACCCAGGUAGUCCACGCCGUAAACGAUGAGUGCUAAGUGUUAGAGGGUUUCCGCCCUUUAGUGCUGCAGCUAACGCAUUAAGCACUCCGCCUGGGGAGUACGGUCGCAAGACUGAAACUCAAAGGAAUUGACGGGGGCCCGCACAAGCGGUGGAGCAUGUGGUUUAAUUCGAAGCAACGCGAAGAACCUUACCAGGUCUUGACAUCCUCUGACAACUCUAGAGAUAGAGCGUUCCCCUUCGGGGGACAGAGUGACAGGUGGUGCAUGGUUGUCGUCAGCUCGUGUCGUGAGAUGUUGGGUUAAGUCCCGCAACGAGCGCAACCCUUGAUCUUAGUUGCCAGCAUUUAGUUGGGCACUCUAAGGUGACUGCCGGUGACAAACCGGAGGAAGGUGGGGAUGACGUCAAAUCAUCAUGCCCCUUAUGACCUGGGCUACACACGUGCUACAGUGGAUGGUACAAAGGGCUGCAAGACCGCGAGGUCAAGCCAAUCCCAUAAAACCAUUCUCAGUUCGGAUUGU
rnacentral:rRNA from 1 species